rnacentral:lncRNA from 1 species
AUGGGAUGGAGGCUGACUCUCACCUCCUCUCCCCGUCACAGCUUCAGGCAAGCCCCCAGCUCCCUCCUCUUUUCCUACUCUUCAGAGCCUUCGGACCCUCCAGUAGGAGAAGGGGAACUCGCCCUGGUCAGAGGUUUGGGAGGGCCUCCUGUGGCUCUGAGCAUGGACAGACAAGACUGGAGCAGCCCAGGGUGCUGGGCCUGGGACCAGAGAGGGACGGGACAGGACGGAUCCAGCCAAGCCCACCCUAGGCCCGCUGCCCCUCACAGACUAUCACAGACUUGUGCCCCGGCUGCCCCUAUCACAGACAAGUGCUCCAGUGUCCUUGCCUGUCACAGCAACUCUUGGCAGCAGGAGGGGAGCAGCAGGAAGUGGUUCAUUAUUCCAUCCUUCAUUAGGUCUGCAUUAGGCAGCCCGAGAGGAGAGGAACCGUGGGAUGUGCAGGAGGAGGCCUCUGCUUCAGAUGGGCCUGUGAAGGGGCUGUGGCGCUGGACCCGCCCCCUGCAGCCUCCUUCCCAACUGCCCCCUCCCUCUCCCCUGCUCCCCGACUCCUUUCAUUCUCACUCCUCCUCUUCCCCAUUGUGCCUACCAGCCUCCCCACCUCCCUGGGGGGCUCCCCAGGGCUCUCCCCUAAAAGGGGACCUCCCCUACGCAGGUCUCCAUCCAGACUUUGGACAACCACCCAGUGGCCCCUCCCCCCAAAGAGACAGUGCCAUCGGCAUAUCCCCGAUGUGUGGUCAGUCAGCGGCAGAAUGCAGGGCGGACUCCCGCCUGCGCCCACCGCGACCGACCCCUCUCCCCUUGACCUCAGGCUGCCACUUCGGAGCCUGGGCCGCCCCCGAGCGGACCUGCCCUUCAUUCAGGACGCUCUGUCCGGGACGCUCCAGGCUGCGGCACCCAGAGGUCAGCAGGGGCCGGUUCCUCCUCUCGGACACCUUUGUUCUUCUCCCGCCUUUGUCCCCGGCCUGUCCUCCUGACCAGCCCACAGCCCCGGCGCGUCUCACCCCUCGCCUGUCAGCUCGCCUCUCCCUCCCACUCCCCUUCGUGGCCUUUGGCCCGCUCGAGCGGGGCAGCCCGGCAGGGUGCGGGGUGGGGCCCCUCUGCCCUCUCGCCCAGCCCCCAGCCCGCCUGGCCCCCCGCAGCCCCGCUCCCCCACUGCUCCCUCUCCGGCCCACGCCCCCCUCACUUGCCCCGCGUCCCGCCCCCUCAAACACCUCCCCUCGCCUCCUCCGCCCCCUCCCCAUUUCCUCUUCCCUCUUUCCCUGGCCCUUCAGUCCCUGGAAGUCAGGCCUCCUCCUCCCCUCCCCUCUUCGCUCUCGUCCUCUCCCUUCUCUCUUCCCCCUCCAGACUCCACUCCUUCGCCUGCUCACUCACCCUCUCCCUCUCCCGCUUGCCCCCCCCUCUCUCCCCCACCUCUUUGUUUCAGCUGAGAACCGGCGGCUCCUCGGGACAGUUCCCACACCGCAGUGCCUCUGGUGA